GAUGAAGAACGCAGCGAAAUGCGAUACUUGGUGUGAAUUGCAGAAUCCCGUGAACCAUCGAGUCUUUGAACGCAAGUUGCGCCUGAAGCCAUUAGGCUGAAGGCACGUCUGCCUGGGCGUCACACGUCGUUGCCCCCCCAUCUACUCCUUCGGGAUUGCGGGGGGCGGAUGAUGGCCUCCCGUGCGCCUCGCCGCGCGGUUGGCAUAAAUGCCAAGUCCUCGGCGACGCACGCCACGACAAUCGGUGGUUGCGAAACCUCGGUUGCCCGUCGUGUGCGGUCGUCGCGCAUCGAGGGCUCGAAAAAAUUGCCGGGUUCCGGCUCGGCUUUCAACGCGACCCCAGGUCAGGCGGGGUUACCCGCUGAAUUUAAGCAUAUCAAUAAGCGGAGGA
rnacentral:misc_RNA from 1 species